UACAGAGGUCUCAAGCGUUGUUCGGAUUCAUUGGGCGUAAAGGGUGCGUAGGCGGCGCGGUAAGUCGGGUGUGAAAUCUUGGAGCUUAACUCCGAAACUGCAUUCGAUACUGCCGUGCUUGAGGACUGGAGAGGAGACUGGAAUUUACGGUGUAGCGGUGAAAUGCGUAGAUAUCGUAAGGAAGACCAGUGGCGAAGGCGGGUUGCUGGGCCGACACUGACGCUGAUGCGCGAAAGCCAGGGGAGCGAACGGG
rnacentral:rRNA from 1 species